rnacentral:rRNA from 1 species
AAUGAACGCUGGCGGCGUGCCUAACACAUGCAAGUCGAACGAGAAAACCCGCAAGGGUAAGUACAGUGGCGCACGGGUGAGUAAUACACAGGAAUCUGCCCUAGUGUGGAGAAUACCCUGGAGAAAUUCAGGUUAAUACUGCAUAAGCCCAGAAAUGGGGAAAGGUGGCCUCAAGCUACCGCACAAGGAUGAGCCUGUGGCCUAUUAGCUAGUUGGUGAGAUAAAAGCUUACCAAGGCGAAGAUGGGUAACCGGCCUGAGAGGGUGUACGGUCACACUGGAACUGAGACACGGUCCAGACUCCUACGGGAGGCAGCAGUGGGGAAUAUUGCACAAUGGGCGCAAGCCUGAUGCAGCGACGCCGCGUGGAGGACGAAGGUUUUCGAAUUGUAAACUCCUGUUAAGUGGGAAGAAAGACGCGUACCUAAUACGUACGUGGGAUGACGGUACCACUAGAGAAAGCACCGGCAAACUUCGUGCCAGCAGCCGCGGUAAUGUCGUC